rnacentral:rRNA from 1 species
GUGAGGAAUAUUGGACAAUGGGCGCAAGCCUGAUCCAGCAAUGCCGCGUGCAGGAAGAAGGCCUUCGGGUUGUAAACUGCUUUUGUACGGAACGAAACGGCUCUGGUUAAUACCCGGGGCUAAUGACGGUACCGUAAGAAUAAGCACCGGCUAACUACGUGCCAGCAGCCGCGGUAAUACGUAGGGUGCAAGCGUUAAUCGGAAUUACUGGGCGUAAAGCGUGCGCAGGCGGUUUUGUAAGACAGGCGUGAAAUCCCCGGGCUCAACCUGGGAAUGGCGCUUGUGACUGCAAAGCUGGAGUGCGGCAGAGGGGGAUGGAAUUCCGCGUGUAGCAGUGAAAUGCGUAGAUAUGCGGAGGAACACCGAUGGCGAAGGCAAUCCCCUGGGCCUGCACUGACGCUCAUGCACGAAAGCGUGGGGAGCAAACAGGAUUAGAAACCCUGGUAGUC